AGCCACUUAAAGAAUAAAAUCGCAUUAGUCCAUCAACGACUUCCUAUUAUCGUCCUUAGCAAUCGACUCUCUUCCAGAAUGGAAACCCCACCCUUCGACUUCUCACUGUCUGAGUCAGUUUUAAGCAAACACAAAACAACAACGGCGUGAUACGGAGGUGCAAAAUCUGCUGAAAGUAAUAGAAACCCAGGACAUACCUACUUUAAACUCGGAUGGCAAGAAGAAUUAGCUCUGAGCUAUUUAUAAGCAGAUUGUCGUUUUACACCACAGUGGAAGAAUUGAAAAGUUUAUUCUCUCCGUUUGGCGCAGUCUCCGAAGUAAUCUACCCGGCACUGAUCUUAAACUUUCACUCAAUCUCGUGGAUGAUGACUGUGUUUAAUGCAGCAAGGCUUAUCAAAGACCCAAGAACACAAAGGCCUAAAGGAUUUGCCUUUGUGAAAUUUGCAUCAGAAGUCAAUGCCCAGAAUGCAGUGAAGGCUAUGAAUGGCAGGGCUUUUCAUAGCAGUCUUAACUCUUAAUUAUUCCGCCUAAAGAAGAGGAUGUUACUGUUUGCCUUUUUUGGGGAAUCUUCUGUUGUUCACUUCAAUAUGCUUUGUCUACAUUCCCAUAGUGGAUGUUCCAUAACCUAUUUGCAGAUAGUGAAUGGAAGAUUGAUUUUUGUAGAAUUUGCAGAGAGUACAAGAUCAGCUGAAACGUCAUCCUGAAAGUUGGUUAAUUUUCUUUACUUAGGAUAUCUGUACGGGAUAUCUAAAUUGUGUAUCCAAAUUCAGUUCAUAUGGGAGAACUUUUGACGGUUUCGCAGUCUUCUUUACUGCUAUUGCCUGUGUUUUGGCUUUGAGUUCCAAAUCAACAACCGGUUUCUAUUGGUCGCAUCCAGGCAUCAUUAUCUGAUAAUUUAUGUAUGAGAUUCUUGGUGCGGGAAGCGAUAAUAAAAUUCUUGUAAUAAGAAUUAUGUAAUAAAUAAAAACGAUAUUUGAACAA